rnacentral:rRNA from 1 species
UGAGUAACCUGCCCUUCCCUCUGGGAUAACUCCGGGAAACCGGGGCUAAUACUGGAUAUGACUCGAACAGGCAUCUGUUUCGGGUGGAAAGAUUUAUUGGUGGAGGAUGAGCUCGCGGCCUAUCAGCUAGUUGGUGUGGGUAAUGGCCCACCAAGGCGACGACGGGUAGCUGGUCUGAGAGGACGACCAGCCACACUGGAACUGAGAUACGGUCCAGACUCCUACGGGAGCA